CGGUAGCUAAGUGCGGAAAAGAUAAGUGCUGAAAGCAUCUAAGCACGAAACUUGCCCCGAGAUGAGUUCUCCCUGACCCUUUAAGGGUCCUGAAGGGACGUUGAAGACGACGACGUUGAUAGGCCGGAUGUGUAAGCGCAGCGAUGCGUUGAGCUAACCGGUACUAAUGACCCGUGAGGCUUAACCUUACAACGCCAGAGGCGUUU
rnacentral:rRNA from 1 species